CUUGGGUAAAAAGUAACUUGGGAGAAAAGUCAUCUAAUAGAGUUGGAGUAGGAUUCUACUUGGAGAAGAAGAAUCCUACACGUUUUUGGAGAGGAUUUUUUCGUCCAAAAUUUCUCUAUUAAAGGAAGACUAGUUUCACUUAAUUACUCACCUUUUAGUUGUAUUGUUCUUGCCCACCCAAUAGCAAAAAACGUCUAAGGUUUUACUAGGAAAAUAGCAGAAGACUGCAGCCCUUGAUUCUUGCAGCUUGGAAGGUUUGUGCAACUACUUCAAGAGUUGGGUCAGCUUGGAACGAGGAAGAAGACGACCAAGUGAAGCUGCUCGAAAUUUAAAAGUUGGUCGACGGUCAGGUGAAGAACACAGCAGCAGUUGGAAGCAGGUGGGGCUGGGGUUUCGCUGCUGCUCAUCGUGGUGUUGGACUGUUUUGGAGAUGUAACUUACUGGACGUCGGGCUGGACGGAGACGGGCAGCAGCUGCUUUGGUCGUUAGGAGACGAGGAAGGUGAAGUUGACGUUGGAGGUUUGGUGGUUUGAGAGUGGUCGCCAGUGAGUUGUUAAUGGGGAACGGGGGUCGUUUUCUGUGGGGGGAGGGGACGACGGAGCUGGUUCACGUCGUGAGGGACUACUGGUCGCCGUCGAAGAUGGCGACGGGGUGAUGACGGGGACUGCUGGUCGUUUGGUUGUUCUCCAAUGGAGAUCGUCUCCUUUUAGGAUCGUUGUAUCUAGCUUGAGGAAGAUGAAGUCCUUUCUUUUUAUUAUAUCUCUUCUCUAUUAUUGUAGGGAAUAAAUAUGUGUAUUAUUGUAGGGAAUCAAGUAUUCAGGCGUGCAAAAAUGGGGGUCCCAAAUCGUGGGUUAGGGGUUAAUGUGUUCUAUCAUGUCUUCCAAAAUAUUCCAAUUCGUGUGGUGAA